rnacentral:rRNA from 1 species
ACGCUCGACACCUACGGGGGGCAGCAGUCGGGAAUAUUGCGCAAUGGAGGAAACUCUGACGCAGUGACGCCGCGUAUAGGAAGAAGGUUUUCGGAUUGUAAACUAUUGUCGUUAGGGAAGAUACAAGACAGUACCUAAGGAGGAAGCACCGGCUAACUAUGUGCCAGUAGCCGCGGUAAUCUGAGCGGGCUGGCAAGGC